rnacentral:rRNA from 1 species
UACGGAGGGUGCAAGCGUUGCUCGGAAUCACUGGGCGUAAAGCGACCGCAGGCGGCCUAACAAGUCGGAUGUGAAAGCCCUGGGCUCAACUCAGGAACUGCAUUCGAAACUGGUAGGCUCGAGUACGGGAGAGGGGGGUGGAAUUCCUGGUGUAGGGGUGAAAUUCGUUGAUAUCAGGAGGAACACCGGCGGCGAAGGCGGCCCCCUGGCCCGCAACUGACGCUCAUGGUCGAAAGCGUGGGGAGCAAACAGG